rnacentral:rRNA from 1 species
AACGUAGGGGGCGAGCGUUGUCCGGAAUUACUGGGCGUAAAGCGCGCGUAGGUGGCUUGAUAAGCCGGUUGUGAAAGCCCCGGGCUCAACCUGGGAACGGCAUCCGGAACUGUCAGGCUAGAGUGCAGGAGAGGAAGGUAGAAUUCCCGGUGUAGCGGUGAAAUGCGUAGAGAUCGGGAGGAAUACCAGUGGCGAAGGCGGCCUUCUGGACUGACACUGACACUGAGGUGCGAAAGCGUGGGUAGCAAACAGG